GAUGAACGCUGGCGGCGUGCUUAACACAUGCAAGUCGAACGAUGAUGCCCAGCUUGCUGGGUGGAUUAGUGGCGAACGGGUGAGUAACACGUGAGUAACCUGCCCUUGACUCUGGGAUAAGCCUGGGAAACUGGGUCUAAUACCGGAUACGACCAUCUGGCGCAUGUCAUGGUGGUGGAAAGCUUUUGUGGUUUUGGAUGGACUCGCGGCCUAUCAGCUUGUUGGUGGGGUAAUGGCCUACCAAGGCGACGACGGGUAGCCGGCCUGAGAGGGUGACCGGCCACACUGGGACUGAGACACGGCCCAGACUCCUACGGGAGGCAGCAGUGGGGAAUAUUGCAAAAUGGGCGCAAGCCUGAUGCAGCGACGCCGCGUGAGGGAUGACGGCCUUCGGGUUGUAAACCUCUUUCAGUAGGGAAGAAGCGAAAGUGACGGUACCUGCAGAAGAAGCGCCGGCUAACUACGUG
rnacentral:rRNA from 1 species